rnacentral:rRNA from 1 species
UACGUAGGGGGGCAAGCGUUGUCCGGAUUUAUUGGGCGUAAAGAGCGUGUAGGCGGCCAGAUAAGUCCGCUGUGAAAUCUCGAGGCUCAACUUCGAGCUGUCGGUGGAAACUAUCUGGCUAGAGUCCGGAAGAGGCGAGUGGAAUUCCUGGUGUAGCGGUGAAAUGCGCAGAUAUCAGGAGGAACACCAAUUGCGAAGGCAGCUCGCUGGGACGUUACUGACGCUGAGACGCGAAAGCGUGGGGAGCAAACAGG